rnacentral:lncRNA from 1 species
AUUCACAUCCAAAUUCAAUUGGAAAGAUGAACUCAUUAACCUUGAACUAAGACAUCCUCCACCGCUCCUAAAAGGUGAGUGUAAGAUCUUUCAACCAAUUAUAUAAUGUCAGCUUCAUGCAUUAUGGACAUAUUAUUCAGUUUAAAUUGGUAGAUAGAUUGAACUAAAAACAGUAGUUAUUUCUAUAAGCGUAAGCACUCAAAUUUCUAUACAAUUAAAUCCCUAAACUGAUUGUCAAAGUUUCUUACAUCUGUUAACGAAACAAGCAGAAAGUAGGAUUACAAACAGUAUUAACCCUCUACAACAUAUUUUCUACAUGCGUGGAAUUCUCAACAAGAUAUAUAUUCUAGAAAUUCAUCCCAGAACAAAAGAAUAAAUAAAUAAAAUAUAAGAUAUAUUGAUGAUAGCUACUCAUUUGGUACUACAACAUCAAAUAAUUACACACAUUGAGUUUUCGAGAAUGUGGGUUGCAUAUAAGCAUUGCUUGUCACUCUUAAAUAUUUUCUUUUCAAGUUAUGCAUUCUCAUGGAUCACACAUCUAUUGCAUAUAAGCUGUUUGACAAUGAAAAUAACAUAUGAAGCAAAGUAGUUGUUAAGGAGACAGAUCCUAUCACAAGAUGUCAUGCAGUUCAUGAACAUAACAAUUAUGGUUCUGACAUAUUAAAGCUUUUUAUUACUCUCCUGGUGAUUAUCACCAUGUAAAAGGUCAAUGAUCAUAUAGGCAAUCAACAUGAUCUACAGGCCUAUAGAAAGCCAAUUUGUGCAAGCUCAACUUGUGCUCCUAGUUAAUAACAUUUGCACCCUCAGCAAUAUCCUAAAAUGAAGACUUUCUAUAAGUCAACCUAUCGAAUUAAGAUAAAUAAAACACCAAUGAGAUGAUUUUUUGAAAACAAAACUAAGCGGAUCGACCAAAAUUAUUCCAAUUGAAACAACCUAGCAUUUGUUGUUAAGAUCAUUGAUGUUUUUCUUAUUACUUUUUUUGUUCAUUUUCAGCUUGCACCUCUAGGGGUUUUAGACCAGGCAUAAAUACGUUUUUACGUAAACACAUGUUCUAAUGUUAGACAAAAGCUCCCCCACUUAGUGAAUUUGAAAGCCACACAAAACUGUUUGACCAACAAGAGUUUCUAUGAGAAUUGAAAGAAGUGGAGCAACAGGUCAGUGAGAAACUAAAUAACAACUUUGAACAAGAUCCAAAAGAAAAAACUUUAGAAAGAG